UACAGAGGGUGCAAGUGUUGUUCGGAAUUAUUGGGCGUAAAGGGUGCGUAGGCGGUUUGGUCAGUCAGUUGUGAAAGCCCUGGGCUUAACCCAGGAAUUGCAUCUGAUACUACCAAGCUAGAGUGCGAAAGAGGAGAGCGGAAUUCCCGGUGUAGAGGUGAAAUUCGUAGAUAUCGGGAGGAACACCAGCGGCGAAGGCAGCCCCCUGGGCUAACACUGACGCUCAUGCACGAAAGCGUGGGGAGCAAACAGG
rnacentral:rRNA from 1 species